rnacentral:tRNA from 1 species
GGGCGUUUAGCUCAGCUGGUUCAGAGCAUCUGCCUUACAAGCAGAGGGUCGGCGGUUCGAAUCCGUCAACGCCCACUC